UACGAAGGGGGCUAGCGUUGCUCGGAAUCACUGGGCGUAAAGGGUGCGUAGGCGGGUCUUUUAAGUCAGGGGUGAAAUCCUGGAGCUCAACUCCAGAACUGCCUUCGAUACUGAAGAGCUCGAGUCCGGGAGAGGUGAGUGGAACUGCGAGUGUAGAGGUGAAAUUCGUAGAUAUUCGCAAGAACACCCGUGGCUAAGGCGGCUCUCUAGUACGGUACUGACGCUGAGACGCGAAAAGCGUGGGGGAGCGAACAGG
rnacentral:rRNA from 1 species